GAUAUUUUGACUAGAAAUGCGAAAAAUACACUUGGUAAAAUUUGGAUUUUUUCCAGUGUAUUAAAAAUACAUCACGUGCGGUCUGAAUAGUUGAAUAGUUGAACCAGAACAACGACAACGACGUCAGAUCAGACCAAACUAACAGUUACUGUGUGACUUCAGCAAAUUUCCAUCCAUGUAAAUAUUUAGUACAUGCACACAUUUAUGAUUUCUAAGUUUAUACAUGACGGAUCCCAGAUACAGUACUUCACAUGCAAACUUAAACAAUGCUUUAUUUUACAUGUCCUAAUGUGCAUUUCCUCAAUUUUGUUUUUUAAAGUUUCCUAGAAAGAACAAUGGAGUUAGAAGGAAUUAUUAGUAAUUAGAAGGACAACAGUGCUGUAAUUAAUUUGUGCUAAAAGCAGCCGUAUAAGUGCUAAUUGGAUUUCAACUAUUAUUUCAUAUCUUGAGGACUGGCUGGAGUUGGAUAUAAUAUAAAAAAAAAAAAAAAAAAAAACACUUAUAGAUUUACCUGUUUUAUUUUUGUGUCCAGGGAAUUAGGAUAAAUUUAGAGACCCGUAAAAUAAAGUGUCCUCAUGCCUCCAAUACAAAAACGUGUGCUUGUUUCAGAAUGCUUGUGCUUGUCAUGACUAUUUUCAUUAUACUGGAGAUUUUGUGCUUAACAUCAUCAUCGUUACUUUCCAGAUGAGCCUUUUUUGUCUGUUUGUACGUUUCCGUUUCAGCCCUCAGCGUUUGUUGCUUUUAGCUCAUAAUCAAACCUCUAUUGUGCCUUAACUGCCCUGAGUGUCCUCAUUCCUCCAUCUUGUGGUUUAGUGGAGUAACUGCACUGUCAAGUCAAACGCUGUCCUUUAGAAACACAGAAAACACUGAAAAAGCAAAGAAAUCAGAGAAGAGAAAUGCACAGAUUUACUUUGCAGUUGUGCUUCGACACUUUGAAAACUUUCCAAAAAGCCUGACAUGUAAUCACGUAUAUAUAUCGUUGCCAUUCGGUCCACUGAUAAAUACGCUGUAGAAAAUAUAUAACAUUGUACGCUCCACGCUCCUACUGACACAGCCAAACCGUUUUGAUUGAAAGGAUAAUAUGAUGUUUGAACUACGGUUAAAAGAGACACUGCAGCCAAAAAUCCUCCCACUCUGUGAAGCUAAAAGCAUCUGGCUACCACCUGAGCAGGCGCCCGAAAAAGCAUCAUAGAUACAAAAACAGACCAAAAAAAAAAAAAACCUCUAGAUGAGAAACAAACCACACUGUUCUCAUAUGUUUGUUGUGUCUUCAACCCUCCAUGAGUCUGAACCUGCCUGCUGUAUGAACAUCCAUCCGUCCUGUGCGCUUAUCUUCAAUGCUGGCGCUUCUGGAAACCCCAACCCUGCAAUGCUAAGGACGCCCCACCCACUCUACGCUAUUACACCCUCCUACAAAACAACAAAUUAAGUCACAAGAUGAGGAAUGGUGAACAGGGUUAAUCAUGAAUCUGUCAUUUUUUCUUUCUUUUUUUUCU